GAGGCAGCCGCUCCCAAAGUUAAGUGCUCCAUGCUUACGGGAGUCUGUAAAGACAGUUGCCUCCCAACAGAAAGGUUUGCUGAAAAGAUUUCCUGUGCGGGAGAGGCUUCCCCCAGCUGUUGCAUACCCAAACUAACCAAACCAUAAUCCAGCCAAGCUACAAGACUUGCCGAGUAUCACAGAUGAUGGGACAGACAGAGGACAUCGUUGUGGAGGAUUUGCUUUGGCUGACUUGGUGCUGAUUUGAAUGCAGCUGCAAUGGCUGAAUAAAUAUUACAUUGAACAUCUA